GAAUAUUGCACAAUGGGCGAAAGCCUGAUGCAGCGACGCCGCGUGAGGGAUGACGGCUUCGGGUUGUAAACCUCUUUCAGCAGGGAAGAAGGCUUCGGGUGGACGGUACCUGCAGAAGAAGCGCCGGCUAACUACGUGCCAGCAGCCGCGGUAAUACGUAGGGCGCAAGCGUUGUCCGGAAUUAUUGGGCGUAAAGAGCUCGUAGGCGGUUUGUCGCGUCUGGUGUGAAAACCUCAGGCUCAACCUGGGGCGUGCAUCGGGUACGGGCAGACUAGAGUGCGGUAGGGGAUACUGGAAUUCCUGGUGUAGCGGUUGWWUGCGCAGAUAUCAGGAGGAACACCGAUGGCGAAGGCAGGUCUCUGGGCUGCAACUGACGCUGAGGAGCGAAAGCAUGGGGABCGAACAGGAUUAGAUACCCUGGUAGUCCAUGCCGUAAACGUUGGGCACUAGGUGUGG
rnacentral:rRNA from 1 species